rnacentral:rRNA from 1 species
UGCCAGCAGCCGCGGUAAGACGGAGGGUGCAAACGUUGCUCGGAAUCACUGGGCAUAAAGCGCACGUAGGCGGCCUGCUAAGUCUGGCGUGAAAGCCCCCGGCUCAACCGGGGAACUGCGUUGGAUACUGGCAGGCUCGAGGACGGUAGGGGUGAGUGGAACUCCAGGUGGAGCGGUGAAAUGCGUAGAUAUCAGGAGGAACACCAGUGGCGAAAGCGGCUCACUGGACCGUAACUGACGCUGAGGUGCGAAAGCUAGGGUAGCGAACGGGAUUAGAUA